AGAAUCAACGCUGGCGGCGUGCCUAACACAUGCAAGUCGAACGAGAAAGUCCGCAAGGAUGAGUAAAGUGGCGACCGGGUGAGUAACACGUGACUAACCUACCUUUUAGUGGGGGAUAACUCCGGGAAACCGGGGCUAAUACCGCAUAACAUCGCAAGAUCAAAGCAGCAAUGCGCUGGAAGAGGGGGUCGCGGCUGAUUAGCUAGUUGGCGGGGUAAUGGCCCACCAAGGCGAAGAUCGGUAUCCGGCCUGAGAGGGCGCACGGACACACUGGAACUGAAACACGGUCCAGACUCCUACGGGAGGCAGCAGUGGGAAUUUUGCGCAAUGGGGGAAACCCUGACGCAGCAACGCCGCGUGGAGGAUGAAGUCCUUGGGACGUAAACUCCUUUACGACCAAGACGAUAAUGACGGUACUGGUAGGAAGAAGCACCGGCUAACUCUGCGCCAGCAGCCGC
rnacentral:rRNA from 1 species